AUGAGUACACUUUAAAUCCUUUAACAAGGAUCCAUUGGAGGGCAAGUCUGGUGCCAGCAGCCGCGGUAAUUCCAGCUCCAAUAGCGUAUAUUAAAGUUGUUGCGGUUAAAAAGCUCGUAGUUGGUUCUGCGUGCCGCGCUGUCGGUUCGCCGCCUGUCGGUGUAACUGGCAUGUCGCGGCAUGUCCUGUCGGUGGUGAACUGGGAUCCUGGUGCAAGCUAGGCUUAAUUGCCCAAGUUUGCUCCCUGUAUUUCCGUUUGCCGAUUUCUCCUACUUCGGUGCUCUUAAACGAGUGUCGAGGUAGGCCGACACGUUCACUUUGAACAAAUUAGAGUGCUUAAAGCAGGCUGAAAUAUCUGCCUGAAUAGUGGUGCAUGGAAUGAUAAAAUAGGACCUCAGUUCUAUUUUAUUGGUUUUAGGAAUAUGAGGUAAUGAUCAAUGUGGACUGGCGGGGGCAUUCGUAUUGCGACGUUAGAGGUGAAAUUCUUGGAUCGUCGCAAGACGCACUAGAGCGAAAGCAUUUGCCAAGUAUGUCUUAAUUGAUCAAGAACGAAAGUUAGAGGUUCGAAGGCGAUCAGAUACCGCCCUAGUUCUAACCAUAAACGAUGCCAGCCAGCGAUCCGCCGAUGUUCCUUUAAUGACUCGGCGGGGAGCUUCUAUCCGGGAAACCAAAGCUUUUGGGUUCCGGGGGAAGUAUGGUUGCAAAGCUGAAACU
rnacentral:rRNA from 1 species